rnacentral:lncRNA from 1 species
UUGGAGUAGCUGUAGCUGGUUUGGGGGAGGAGGUAGUGACUGCUGGUGGGGUUGCGGGGUUUCGAUGUACGUGAUGUGUGGAGGUCGUGGAGGAGCAUAGUUUGGUGGAAGGUUGUGGUCCGCGGUUUGCUGGGCUGGGCGCCAAGCUGGUAGGAAACUGGGGUAGUAAGCGGAGGCUAGCGCGCUGGGCUGAAGUGGAGCUGGGUGCUGCUGGCUUGAACCUCCGACAUA